GGAAAGAUGGCUGAGUGGUCGAAAGCACAUCCCUGCUAAGGAUGCGUAUCCGUUAGGGUACCGUGGGUUCGAAUCCCACUCUUUCCG
rnacentral:tRNA from 1 species